UACGUAGGGGGCGAGCGUUGUCCGGAAUUACUGGGCGUAAAGGGUGCGUAGGCGGCGAUGCAAGUCCAUUGUGAAAAGCCCGGGCUUAACCUGGGAGGUGCAGUGGAAACUGCAUGGCUUGAGUGCAGGAGAGGAAAGUGGAAUUCCUAGUGUAGCGGUGAAAUGCGUAGAUAUUAGGAGGAACACCAGUGGCGAAGGCGGCUUUCUGGACUGUAACUGACGCUGAGGCACGAAAGCGUGGGGAGCAAACAGGAUUAGAUACCCCCGUAGUCC
rnacentral:rRNA from 1 species